rnacentral:lncRNA from 1 species
UAAAAUAUAUGCAAUUCAUACCACUAUCGCGAUGGGGGUAGAGAGACUGAAAUCUAUUGAAAUUUCUAUUAUUCUUGGAAAUUUUUUCUAUCAAUAUUGGAAUUGUAAGGUGACUUAUUUUUUUUUUUUGCUUUUUUUUAUCAUAUGAAACUAUGGUCCAUGUAAAUUCAUCGUCAUUUUUUUUCCCUUAUUUUUCUAUUUUUUCAUUUUUUUCUUCUUUUUCUAUUUUUUUUAUUCUGAAUCUAUUUUUUUACUCAUUUCUAAAUUUUUUCUUCAAUUUUUACUUCUUUUUUUCUUGAGAAUGAUCAGCGUUAGGGUUUUCGGAAUUCUCAGAGUUUUUUUCCUUAUUUUUGUAACAGUAAUGAAUGUUAUGACCUAAACAUACACAUAAUUGACAUAGAGGAGUGGUACUCUCAAAGAGAAUUUUUUGAAGGUGAAACCCAAUAAGAACAUUUGGAGGAAAAAGUUUGUUAAGUGGUGUCAAGAUACACAAUCUAGCGCAUCUUCCUCUUGAAGCAGUCCAUGUGCAACUGUCUAUUUUCAGAACCGUGCCUAUAGUAUUGCCAAUUUUUUGAAAAAUCUGAAGGUCAUAAUAUUCAGUGGGAAGUUUGGGUAGGCAUAUCCAAAUAGUUGUGUAGUUGGAAGUUUCCUUUAAGUGAUUGAACUUUUGUUCCCACUUACGAGUGGAGAGAUAUUGUGAGCCAAUGAACCAAGGUCCAUGAAGGAGGACUUUUUCAUAAUUUUGUUUGUGGAUAAACUUGAUAAGGUAGAAAUCUUCUCCUAGGUUAAUGUGGUUUAAAUCUUUGUUGAGGUUCCAUAACUCUUUCAGUCUAGAUCUAAGAUAGUUAUAGCCUAGACUUUUGCCCAGAAGUUUCACCAUAACAGCUUGUUCCCAUGGAGUAUAUAAUCUUUUUUUAUCAAAAGUCAAAAUGGUAUAAAAAAGGGAUGAUUUGACUUAUUUUCUUGCUCGUCGUCUAAGUUGAAGAGAUGAAAAGUCUUUUUGGAUAGAUUCUAUAGGGUUGAUGAGAUUAUCUAUUAAUAUUUUAUCUUUAAAGCUCAUCGUACUAGAAGUAGAAAAUAAAUGAGAAGAGAAUGUAGGUACCUAUUUAGGCUUAUUUAUACUUCUUGUCAGAAGAUCUUCCUCUUAUGGUUGCAUCACUUUAUCUGUGAUAUCCAUUAGAGUUGAUGUUGGUUGGUAGUUGCAGUAAAUGUUGAAGAUUUUCCUUGCUUUUUUAGAGAGAAGGCAAAGGCUUUCUCUCUCUUAAAUUUUCCUUACACACUUGGACUUUAAAUAAAAAUAGAAUUUGUCAACUAUCAAAAUUUGGGAUUCAAGGAAUCUUCAAUUUACCCCAUUUUUAUAAGGCAAACCUAACUUCAUUUUUGUGUAAGUCUAUGAGAUCAGUAUCACUACUGCUCAACAUACUCAUACGCCUGCAUUUUUACUACACCUUGCACACCUGUUAACAUGUUAACACAAAUUCCCUCUUUUGACAUCAUUAAAAAUUAGAUAGAGAUAAUGUUAGGGAUAAAGUAGAUAGUAAAGAACUCAAUGUCAUUGAGGCAAUAGAGACACAAUUAAGAAAGUCACAUAAGAUUCACAAGUAGCAGUAACAGGCAUAAGGCGAAAAUUAUAACAAGAUAAGCACAACAUUAAGACAAUUAAUGAUACAAAACAAAACAUCCAAAAAUUAGUUACAAAGUAUCAAAAAUAAAUUGAUGUAUCAUCAGAACAAAAAAAUCAAAGAUAUCAAGGUUUAAGAGGAAGAUAAAGGAUUGAACUGAGCUCCAAAAAGAGAGCAAUGAGCUGCUGGAUUUACUCAAAAUGAAUGCUCUGCAUUUUAAUCAUUUCUGAUUUAAGGGAAUCUACCUGUGCUUGUGACAUUUUCACACACUCCCUUAAACCAAAUUUUCUUCCUUUAACUGGGCAAUAUCCUUCUAUGUUGCUUUCAAGUCCAUAGGUCAAGUGAUAGGGAUAGUGCACUUCUUUCCUAUAGUAUUUUCACUAAAGUAAUCACACUCAUUUAGGGUAAAGAGUGUAACAUGUCAGACCUUGUUGCAACAAUACCUUUUACUAGGGGUACAUUAAAUUUUACAAACACAACAAAGAGAAGAAAAUCAUAUGCAAGACUAUAAGGCUCAGUCUUAGAAGAGGUCACACUCCUCGUAUGUUUGAUCAUCAAUGCAAUGAGGUAUAUCUUCUCACUCAUGUCUAGGACAUUCAUUAUCCUUAGAUCUCUGAAGCAAGAAUUUGAUUUUCUCCCUUUCCUGGGCAGUAUCUCCUUGUGCACAAUAUCAAACAACCUAUGGCUAGGAGUUAUCUCUCCACUAUUUACUUUUUCAGGAUUAUUCUUUUUCUUUUCUUUAGUGAACUUAUUGAUAAGAAAACACUCAACAUCCUUCUUCCACACAUAUUCUUUUAACUAUUCAGAGGGAACACCUAAUACUUUUUCUAGUCUUAUAGGAUCAAGAAUAAUUUCAACUCCCCUUACACUAAAACUGAUCAUCCACCUAUCCAAGAACUUCAAAUUAACAUAGAAUUCUACUACCUCAAAUUUAUGUAACACAUGUUAUUCUAUCAAAAACAAGUGAUUCCACCCCUGAAACCUAAGUUUUUUAAGUAGUUAAACAAUGGAAAGAUUAUCAAUUACCUCUUUAGCAAAAGUUCUACCCUUGAGCAUCAAUUGAGUAGAGUAGUAGCCAAUGAAACUCAAUCUCAAGAACUUUUCAUAGUUCCUGUUUACCUUUCCCUUCUUCUCAGUAAUUUCCUCUUCUUCAUCCUAUUCCUCCAUAUAUGUAUCUUCAUCCUCAUUAAUCUCUAUAGGUUCAUUAUUAUCAUCUAUUUUAUUCUUUCCUCUAGCCACCUUAUCUUUCUUUUCCUUUAUAGCCUUUCUCACUUCAGCAACCUUUUUUCCUAGGAUUAGUUAUUUUUGAAAGAAAGGCAGGAGAGAUUUGAGGAACUACCUUUGAUUUGGGGUGCAUUUAGACUUUACGCUUUUGUGCAUCCCUUUUUUGUAAUCAGGAAUAAGAUUAAUGCUUGAGAAAUUUAUUUGGAGUUUAUCAGAAUAUCCCCAUCACUAACAAUUUUUUCCUCCUUAAAAAAUAAUUUAGGGUUAUGAGCAGGGACUGGAGUAGUGACUGCUCCUUCAGAUGUCCAUGAAUAGUUGAUAGAAUUUGACUUUUGAACAGGUGGAUAUAAGGGUCUUGGUGAGGAAUUUAGAGAUGGAAUGAGUGAAGAUUUCAGGAGAAGAGAAUGGAAGAGACGGUGAGAAAGAUCUAGAUUUACGUUCUCCCUAAGAAGGUACACUAGAGGAGAGACCCUCAUAAUUGAAAUAAUACACAAGAGAGUGAAAUUUUUACACAUUAGGUUUUGAGGAUGAAGGACUUAGGGAAGCCAUUGGCGGAGAAAAGAGUUUUCUUUUUUGUUAGGAAAGUGAGUUUGAGAGAUAUUUGAAGUUUGUAGUGGAGCUUCGGUGAAUGUGGAGAGUUUUUAUAGAAAAGAAGAAAUAAUUGAAGGAUUGUAUAAUGAUUGAAGUGAUGAUUGUCAGUUUUAAAAGGAGAGAGCAAUGAUUGCAAAAAGAGGUAUUUAUUUAUUUUUCUCGCUUAAGAUUUUGUCUUUUGUAGGUGUUUGAGGUUUGAUAAUUAGGAUCAGAUCUUAAGACAGAAACAUAAUACUUUUAAUAUUUGAAAUAACUUGAAUUCUUUGCAAAGGAUCUGCAUAUAUGACUUGAGAACUAGGUCCUUAUGUGUCUUCUUGAGCUUUUACUUUGAAAUUAAGAUUCACUUUGAUGGUGAGAACUCAAGUGGUAGAUAUGAGCCUACCAAGGAACAAAGACUAAGUUAAUUACCAUAUCUAAUAAUUUGCAAGCGUGAUCUCUUACCUUAGUUUCAUAGUCAAGCACUUGGGGGAAGACUGUAGUCCUUCUUCUAUAAGAUUUCAUUAUCCAAGGGCCAAUCUAUUCUUCUCCAAAUGUUCUCUCUCCAAUGCUUUGAUGAAUAUAUCAGAAAUUUGUUCAUCACUUCCACAAAACACUAUUUCUAUCAACCCUUUUUCUACAUAAUCUAUGAGAAAAUGAUAUCUUACAUUAAUGUAUUUGAUUUUACUAUGUUGCACUGAAUUUUUAGCCAAAUUAACUGCACUUGUAUUAUCACACAUGAUAGAAAUACAUUCGAUGUUGAUUUCAUAGCCACUAAGUUGUUGUCUUAUCUGAUCCAGAGAAGUUAAGAACAAAAGGAUAUAGCAACUUUAUAUUCAGCCUCAACAAUUGAAAGAGCCACAGAGUUUUAUUUCUUUGUUGCCCAGGAGAAAAGACACAGUUUCAAGAAGUGAUCCAAUCCAGAAGUACUUUUUUUGUCCACCAAAUAUCCCGCAUGAUCAGCAUUAGGAUAACAAACAAUAUCAAAGAAAUCUCCAUCAGAAUACCAUAUAAACAUUCCUUGAGUGCCUUUGAGGUACCUAAAAAUUCUCUUGACAGUCCUUAAGUAAGAUUCUUUGGGAGAUGAUUGAAAUCUAGUACAUAUACCUAUACUAUACACAAUGUUAGUUCUACUAUCUGUAAGAUAUAGUAAGGAGACAAUCAUUCCUUAAUACUUUAUUUUAGCAACAGACACACCAGCCUCAUCUCUAUCAAGUGUUGUGGUAGUAACACUAGGAGUACUGCUUGUCUUAGCUCCAUUCAUCUCAAAUUUCUUUGAUAAUUCCUUGUUAUACUUUUGUCUAUGUAUGUAUGUUCCAUCCUUGGUUUGAUUGAUGUGUAAUUUUAAUAAAAAAGGUCAAUUCUCUCAUCAUGCUCAUUUUUUUUCUACUGCUUUCAUACCACAAAGAAGUCCAAUAGUUGUGCUUACUUCUUCCUUCAACCCUUUCAAACUCACUGCUCAUUAAUGAGGAGCAUUUCUUGCAUAAAACACGAUCUAUAGCUCCAAAUAUUAUAUCAUCUACAUCGAUUUGCACAAAAAAAGAUUGAAUUCUUCCUUUUUGUGAACAGUCUGUUGUCUAUUGUCUCUCUAGUAUAUCCAUGUUUUAGAAAAAAAGAGGACAGUUUGUCAUACGAUGAUUUUGGGGCCUGCUUAAGAUGAUAUAAAGCUUUGUCAAGAUUAUACACAUGAUCUGGAUAUUCAAAGAUCUCAAAACUUUGUGAUUGUUUCACAUAAACUUCUGUAUUCAGAUAAGCAUUCAAGAGGACACUUUUCACAUCCAUUUGAAACAGUUUUAAUUCCUUAUGGGAAGCAAAUACCAUCAGCAUUCUAAUGGCUUCCAUUCGAGCAGUAGGGGAAAAUAUUUCAUCAUAGUCCACCUUCAUCUUAAUUGUAUUCUUGCACCACCAGUUUGGCCUUGUUCCUAGUGACUACACCUUGAUCAUCUUACUUAUUUCUAAAUACCCACCCAAUUCAUAUGACAGUCCUAUAUGGAGACUUAGAAACUAAGUGGCAUAUCUUACUUCUGUAAAAUUGAUGUAACUCUUUUUGUGUAAAAACAAUGUAAUAUGUAUCUUACAAAGCUUCUUUGAUGUUCUUUGGUUUAAUCAGUGACAGGUAGGCUAAGUAAGUACACAUACUUCUCAACUUAUUUUUAGUCUGCAUGUCUGAAUUUAGGGGGAUAUAAUAUUUUCAAUGGAAUGUGACUCUUAUAUUCCUAAUUUAUUUUAGUAUUAGGCGGAGAAGUACUAGGUGCAUCAAGAUGAAAGGAUGAAUAAUCUGAAUGAGCAGUUCCCCCGAGGAAGACACCUCCUCCUGAGUUAUAGCAUAUUUCUUAACAGCUGGAGUGGUGUCCUUGUGUUCUUCUUUAUCUUUUGAAACAUGGGUCAGUUUAAACCUACAAUUGCCCUCAUCUAUGCAGCUGGAACUGUCCUCAUGAUUCGCUUCAUCAAAUAUGACAUAAAUGAAUUUCUUCUACCAACUAGUUCUCUUAUUGUAGAUUUUAUGAGCCUUACACUGUGAAGAAUAUCUCAGAAGAUACCUUUAUCAAUUUUUGCAUCAAAUUUUCCUAAUAUGUCCUUUCCAUUAUUGUAAAUAAAAUAUUUACACCCAAAAGGUCUUAGAUAGGUUAGAUUUGGCUUUCUACCCUUGAGUAGUUCAUAAG